rnacentral:rRNA from 1 species
GUCUUUUUGAAAUAAUUUAAAGUCUAAUCUGCCCACUGAUAAAAAUUAAAGGGCUGCAGUAUAAUGACUGUACAAAGGUAGCAUAAUCAAUAGUUUUUUAAUUGGAAACUUGUAUGAAAGAUUUGAUGAAAUAUAAACUGUCUCUAUUUUAUAAAUUGAAUUUUAUUUUUUAGUAAAAAAGCUAAAAUAAAUUUAAAAGACGAGAAGACCCUAUAGAGUUUUAUAUUUAAUUUUAUUUGAAAAUUAUAUAAAAAUUAUUAUUUAAAUAAAAUUAAUUAUUAUGUUGGGGUGACAGAAAAAUUAAAUUAACUUUUUUUAAAAAUUAAACAUAAAUAAGUGAUUAUAUGAUCCAUAAAUAAUGAUUAUAAGAAAAAAUUACCUUAGGGAUAACAGCGUAAUAUUUUUUUUUAGCUCAAAUAAAAAAGAAAGUUUGCGACCUCGAUGUUGGAUUAAGAUAAAAUUUAAAUGCAAAAGUUUAAAAUUUUUGAUCUGUUCGAUCAUUAAAAUCUUACA